AAAGUAAUUUUAUACAAUAUUUUAAAUAAUUUUGUGAUUGAAACAAAGUUUGUGAAUACUGAACUAUCAGAAAGCAAAGGGCAAAGGUGUCACAGUGA